AGAAAUAAGUGUAAAUAGUAAAUAAAAAAAAGAGUAGAUUUACCAGAGCCUAUACUCUGAUACUAACUGAUGCGGAACCCGAGAUCAACAAUGAAAUCCAAAAUCCCGCAUAUAUAUAAGCAAUUAGAGGCUCAAAAACCUAAGCAUCCCUAUUUGACCUGCACUCAAAUAGGGGAGUUUAAAACUAAAGUAACUGAGAAAGAAAUAAAGAACUAUAAUUGAAAAGAGGCCAUGAGACUUACCUCAAUAAGUGAUCCCAAUUCCUAACACAAGUCGGUCGAAAACCCACUCACUCACUCUUACAAGUUUGGAAGCUUAAAAUAAGAAUAGUUGAAUUUUAUUAAUAAGCUGAAUAUUCCGAAUUGAAUUACAACUCUAAAUUGAAUGCCUAUUUAUAGUGUAGUCUAUGCGAAUAAUAAGGGAAAAAUAAUCUCUUAAUUUAUGGUAGAAAUUAUAUAGGAAAUUAAAUCUACACUAUAAUGGAAAACUAGCAAGAAUUAAGAAAAUUACAAUUAAAAUAGUAUAGAUAUGAUUUUCCUAUGAG
rnacentral:lncRNA from 1 species